ACAUGGAGUAUUUGUGAACACGUAACAAUUCUAGGCUGAUUGCUCUCGUGACUUCACCCCCAAGCUCUGCCAUCUCUUCUCCUACAUCAGCAGAUCUCCUAACUCCAUCCUCUUAUACUUGUCACCAAAGAAAUGAAACAAUUUUAAUAGCCAAUCUGAAAGAAAACUAACCAUCAUUUCUUCCUAGGGAAAGAAUGACAGAGUUGUUAAUGAAUGCUACAUUUACCUACUGGAAGACCUUGAUAAAAAGGGAUUGGAUUUGAAAUCCAUGUUCAGCUGAAGAAAAGAAGCCCUUUC